UUCUGCGAGAUAGUCAUAAGGUUAAAACUCUAAAUUAACCUCUUCAUCUAAUAGGUGAAGAAAUAAGCCCAGAGAGUUUACAAGACUUUACUUCCUGAAUGAAGGUCACAAUGCAAAUUACUUACUAAUGGAUGUAAUUCCUGACACUUAGCUGGAGAAAAAUUGCUUUAUUGGGCCAGAUAAACUUGCCAGGAUUGAGGCCAUCAAGCUACAGAUGGUCGUACAAAUGGAACCCCAAAUGAGCGCAACUCACAACUUCUACUGAGGACCUCUGGACCGACUCACUGGCCCUUUGACUGGCCUAGAGAGUUCCCCUCUGGAGGAUGCUACAACUGCAGGGCCCCUUCUUUGCCCCUAUCCAGCAGGAAGUAGUUAGAACAGUCAUUGCCCAGUUCCCAACAGCAUUUGGGGUGUCCUGUAUAAUGGGGGGAUUGACAGGCGAAGCCAGCUGGACUUCCUGGGUUCAGUGGGGACUUGGAGAACUUUUCUGUCUUACAAGAGGA